GAUGAACGCUGGCGGCGUGCCUAAUACAUGCAAGUCGAGCGAACAGACGCGGCUCUUGCUCCUCUGACGUUAGCCGCGCACGUGUGAGUAACACGUGGAACCCCUACCUAUCAGACUGAUAUCACCUGGGGAAACCGGAGCUUAUACGAGAGAAUAUCUUGAAGCACAUGGGUCAAUAGUGAGAGUCGGUGUUGCUGUCACUUAUAGAUGGAUCCGCGCGGCAUUAGCUAGUUGGUAAGUUAACGGCCUACCACGGCGACUAUGCGUAGCCGACCGGAUAGGGUGGUAGGCGACACGGGAGCUGGGACACGGUCAAGACUCCUACGGGAGGCAGCAGUAGGGAAUCUGACGCAAUGGGCGAAAGCCUGACGGAGCAACGCCGAGUGAGUGAUGAAGGUCUUCGGAGCGGAAUACUGUGUUAUUAGGGAAGAACAAAUGUGUAAGUAACUGUGCACGGCUUGACGGUACCUAAUCAGAAAGCCACGGCUAACUACGUG
rnacentral:rRNA from 1 species